rnacentral:lncRNA from 10 species
UCUUGCAUCUCAUAUUCUUCAACCCUGUCAGAAGAGUUGGGGUGGCCCUGACUGCCAGGCCCACCAGGGCCAGCAGAGUGGGCUGUUUGUAUGGGACGGAGGGUGAGGUGUGUGCAGGAGUUGUGCUGACUCGGCCGCCUGCGUGCUGUGUGUCCUUGGGAUGUUCCCUAACCUCUCUGAACCUUGAUUUCUUCCUCUGAAGAAUGGGGCUGAACCUCCCGGAGGUGCCCAGUGCUCUCCCCCGGCGGAGCCAACCCUCACUGAUGGGAGCCCUGGGGUCAUCUGUGAGCAGGGCCUCCUUACUGGGCAAGCAGCAGGUGA